UACGGGGGGGGCAAGCGUUGUUCGGAAUUACUGGGCGUAAAGGGCUCGUAGGCGGCCAACUAAGUCAGACGUGAAAUCCCUCGGCUUAACCGGGGAACUGCAUCUGAUACUGGAUGGCUUGAGAUUGGGAGGGGGAUGCGGAAUUCCAGGUGUAGCGGUGAAAUGCGUAGAUAUCUGGAGGAACACCGGUGGCGAAGGCGGCAUCCUGGACCAACACUGACGCUGAGGAGCGAAAGCCAGGGGAGUAAACGGG
rnacentral:rRNA from 1 species